rnacentral:rRNA from 1 species
GACGAAGGUGGCGAGCGUUGUUCGGAAUCACUGGGCAUAAAGCGCACGUAGGCGGUGACGUAAGUCGGGUGUGAAAUCCCUCGGCCUGACCGAGGAACUGCGCCCGAUACUGCGUUGCUUGAGGACCAGAGGGGUGCAUGGAAUUUCCGGUGGAGCGGUGAAAUGCGUUGAUAUCGGAAGGAACUCCGGCGGCGAAAGCGAUGCACUGGCUGGUUUCUGACGCUGAGGUGCGAAAGCCAGGGGAGCAAACGGG